AAGUCGUAACAAGGUAACCGUAGGUGAACCUGCGGUUGGAUCAUUAAAAAAUGUUUGGUCUUGUGCCAAAUCAACAUUUGUGUGCACCAUUGUCUGUCUUUGGUAGUUCGAGUUGCCCUCGAGGUUCAACGCCUCGAGUGGCCUACCCCUUGGGGUUGGGCUACCGCCAUUUUUUGAUAAACCUUUUUGUUAUUUCUAUUUUUGUCUGAACGAAGAGUUGAUCUUUAUUGAUUAAUGACUUGAAUACAACUUUUGACAACGGAUCUCUUGGCUCUC
rnacentral:misc_RNA from 1 species